GACGAACGCUGGCGGCGUGCCUAACACAUGCAAGUCGAACGAGGAUAGAGGAGAUUGCUCUUCUAUUCUAGUGGCGGACGGGUGAGUAACACGUGAGUAACCUGCCUUUCAGAGGGGGAUAACGUCUGGAAACGGACGCUAAUACCGCAUAACAUAGAGGUGUCGCGUGGCGCUUUUAUCAACGGAGCAAUCCGCUGAGAGAUGGACUCGCGCCCGAUUAGCUAGUUGGUGGGGUAAAGGCCUACCAAGGCGACGAUCGGUAGCCGGACUGAGAGGUUGAACGGCCACAUUGGGACUGAGACACGGCCCAGACUCCUACGGGAGGCAGCAGUGGGGGAUAUUGCACAAUGGGGGGAACCCUGACCGAGCAACGCCGCGUGAAGGAAGAAGGUUUUCGGAUUGUAAACUUCUGUUAUAAAGGAAGAACGGUACAUGGAGGGAAUGCCAUGUAAGUGACGGUACUUUAUGAGAAAGCCACGGCUAACUACGUGCCAGCCGCCGCGGUAAAAC
rnacentral:rRNA from 1 species